rnacentral:rRNA from 1 species
UACGUAGGGCGCAAGCGUUAUCCGGAAUUAUUGGGCGUAAAGAGCUCGUAGGCGGUUUGUCGCGUCUGCCGUGAAAGUCCGAGGCUCAACCUCGGAUCUGCGGUGGGUACGGGCAGACUAGAGUGAUGUAGGGGAGACUGGAAUUCCUGGUGUAGCGGUGAAAUGCGCAGAUAUCAGGAGGAACACCGAUGGCGAAGGCAGGUCUCUGGGCAUUAACUGACGCUGAGGAGCGAAAGCAUGGGGAGCGAACAGG